GACGAACGCUGGCGGCGUGCUUAACACAUGCAAGUCGAACGGUGAAGCGCCUUCCUUUUUGGUGGGUGUGGAUGAGUGGCGAACGGGUGAGUAGCACGUGAGUAACCUGCCCCCUUCUUCUGGAUAACCGCAUGAAAGUGUGGCUAAUACGGGAUAUUCUGGGUCUGUCGCAUGAUGGGUCUGGGAAAGAUUUUGUUUCGGUGGGGGAUGGGCUCGCGGCCUAUCAGCUUGUUGGUGGGGUGAUGGCCUACCAAGGCGGUGACGGGUAGCCGGCCUGAGAGGGUGGACGGUCACACUGGUACUGCGACACGGCCCAGACUCCUACGGGAGGCAGCAGUGGGGAAUAUUGCACGAUGGGCGCAAGCCUGAUGCAGCGACGCGGCGGGGGGGAUGGAGGCCUUCGGGUUGUGAACCUCUUUCGCCAGUGAAGCAGGCCUGCCUCGUUUGUGGGUGGGUUGACGGUAGCUGGAUAAGAAGCGCCGGCUAACUACGUG
rnacentral:rRNA from 1 species